UACGAAGGGGGCGAGCGUUGUUCGGAUUUACUGGGCGUAAAGGGCGCGCAGGCGGCUUAUUUUGUCAGGCGUGAAAGCCCCGGGCUUAACCUGGGAACUGCGUUUGAUACGGAUGGGCUAGAGUUCGGGAGAGGAGAGUGGAAUUCCCAGUGUAGAGGUGAAAUUCGUAGAUAUUGGGAAGAACACCGGUGGCGAAGGCGGCUCUCUGGACCGAUACGUGACGCUGAGGCGCGAAAGCGUGGGGAGCAAACAGG
rnacentral:rRNA from 1 species